CGCGGGGUGGAGCAGUCUGGUAGCUCGUCGGGCUCAUAACCCGGAGGUCGGUGGUUCGAAUCCACCCCCCGCUACCA
rnacentral:tRNA from 1 species